AAUAAAUUAGAUUUUAUUUGCUUUUUGACGUGAUAUUAUGUCUGAAAUUAUUGUCCUAAGGUUGAGAUGGGAGCAAUAGUGUUGAAGCGGAACCUUUGUUUAGGGGGCGUUACUUCCGGGUUGGUUUUGGGGCGGACUUCCUGUUAGCCUCAGACGCAAAUGUGAAUGCUAAAAGUAGUACUUCAGUUGUGAUUGUUGAAUUUUAUUUCAUUAUUCUUCAUGUUAGUACAGUGAAAACACACCAAAACUACUCUGUACGAGUUUACUUCUUAUUUUUUUAUAAGGAAAUAACACUGCGUUGCAGUUCCUGUGCACCGUUCUGCUAGUAGUUGUAAGUUUUUUCAGCAGACGUUUAGAUCGGCAGGAUGCCAACCCGUGCUGGGGAUGUCCCGUGGGGUUACGUGAAGACCUUACUCCUGUUUUUAGGAGUUUUUUCCUAGCCUCCCCUCCCUCGGCUUAAUUUAUGACCUGUGAGGAGGAACCCAGGGAGUGAGAAGUGAGUGAGACUGGUUUGAAAGCCGUGAAUAGGGAAGGGGGCAACAGGCCCUCCAAAUAACACAAAGGAGGCAACCACAGCUGUUUGGAGGCAACACAAGCCUCCGCAAGACGCUGUCUUCUUCCAGACCUACACCCGUGCUGACUUUGCAAGCAGCAUGCUUGUGUUUGAAAGCUGUAACUUCACUUCUUGUAGGUGAGAACUAAUACACUUUGAAGUUCAAAUGUGUGGAGACAGAAAAAGUGUCUGUCUGCAAGAAAACAUUUUCUGUCUUGAACGAAUGGAAAAUCAUGUUGUGGCAACAAAGCAAAAAAAAAAAAAAAAUCUUUAUUUAAAAGAAAAUGUUAUAGUAGGACAGCUAAAGUUCAAUCCAAAAUUUAGGGCAAGAAAUGAGUUUGAUGUUUUCAAUUCAAUACUGUCAGGAAGUUUGGGUCAACAGAAGUUCACCUUCCACUGCAUAACUCUGAAGUGUAUUUUGAAUGUCUGUGUCUUUCUGUUUGACUUUAUUUACAGUGGCUUGCAAAGUAUUCAUACUUAUUGAACUUGUCACAUUUUGUAAAAUUAAAACCAGAAACUAUGAGGCAUUUUGUUGAGAUCUCAUGUAAUAGGCCAAGACAGAGGCAUAAUUAACAGGGAGAAAACUGACACAUGGUUGUCAGACGAUAGUAAUUCUUAAGAUUUUUGGAGGUUUUUUUUUAUUUUUAUUUUUUACAAAUAAUCUAAGAAGUGUAUUUAGUCCCUCAAUACCAUACUUUUCAUUUCAAUAUCAGUCUUUUGGGAGAUGUUUCCACCAGCUGUGCACAUCUAGAGACAUGUUUUGCAUGCCCAAUUGCAAAACAAGUCAACACAUGAAUAUUUUCGGAUCUAAAUCAUUACAAUGGAGCUUGGAGGUUGUUGCCAAACUGGAAGGUGAACCUUCACCACAGUCUUAAGUCUUAAGUUUUAUCCACCUUCACAUAAAACCUGACCAGCUUCUGUCUUUGAGGAAGAAUACUCCCUACAGCAGAUGCUUUUUUGUUAAAAAAAAAAAAAAAACGUUUACAUUUCAUUCAACCAAUUCACCUUCUUCCACAUGUCUGCUGUGUCUCUUACCUGGGCAGUUUCUUUUAGAAUAAUUACUUAUAAUUGUUGUCCUGUCAACAGAUUCCUUCAUCUGAGCAGUGGGUCUCUUAAAUUCUUCCUGAGUUUCUGUGGAUAUGUUGCCUGCUUCUCUUAUGAAUGUUUGCCUUGCCCAAUCCAGUCGGUCAGUUUUAGUUGGUGUACACGUCUUGGUAAGUUUGGAGUUUUAUCAUACUCUUUUCACUUUGAGAUGAUGAAUUAACAGGCACUCUGGAAAAUAUUGAAAGCUUAUGAUUUUAUAAUGUAACACCUCUUUAAACCGCUCCACAAUUUUAUUAAUUACAUAUCUGCUGUAGACCUUGGUCUCCAUUUUGUGGUUUAUACAGAAUUGUUUUCUUACAAUAUUGAAUAAGAGAAAAAUAUUCCUAGACUCUCAAAUGGCAAAGAGAGUCUAGUAUUUGCUAGACUAGACUCUCUGCCUUAGUAAAGGGGGCUGAAAAAAUUAUGCAUUACUUUUAUGAUCUUUAUCUGUAAAAAUAAAAAGCUCAAACCAUGCAUCAUUUUUCUCAGGCUUAAUAAUUGUCUAUGACUUUGUUUUGUUUUUUAAUAGACAUGACAAAGUAUGAAAAUCUUUAAAGGGCAUCAAUACAUUUUCAAGCUACUUAUGCAGCUAUUAGGCUGCCAUUAUGUCCACCUUGUGUUGACAGAUUUUUUUGCGUCUAUGUGCAAAGGUCAAUCAAAAUUACUUAGGUAGAUGCAAAUAAUUAGUAUGGUUUUGAAUGCAAAUCCCUGAAAACAAAACAAAACAAAACAAAAAAAAAC